rnacentral:tRNA from 1 species
CCGUGGCUCAAUCGUUAGAGCGUUAGACUUCUAAUCAAAAGGUCGCGGAUUCGAGCUUCGGUUGG